CCUACGGGCGGCAGCAGUGGGGAAUAUUGCGCAAUGGGCGAAAGCCUGACGCAGCGACGUCGCGUGAGGGAUGAAGGUCUUCGGAUCGUAAACCCCUGUCAGCAGGGGAGAACGGGCACUGUCCUAAUCAGCCGUGAAUUGACGGUGCCUGCAAAGGAAGCACCGGCUAACUGCGUGCCAGCAGCCGCGGUAAUACGGAGGGUGCGAGCGUUAAUCGGAAUUACUGGGCGUAAAGCGCACGUAGGCGGUAUGUCAAGGCGAGGGGGAAAACCUCGCGGUCAACGUGGGAACUGCCUUUGAAACUGGGAAACUUGAGUGGGCGAGAGGAUAGUGGAAUGCGAGGUGUAGGAGUGAAAUGCGUAGAUAUCUGGAGGAACAUCAGUGGCGAAGGCGACCAUCUGGCACAUAACUGACGCUGAGGAGCGAAAGCGUGGGGAGCAAACAGGAUUAGAUACCCGAGUAGUC
rnacentral:rRNA from 1 species